CCUACGGGAGGCAGCAGUGGGGGAUAUUGGACAAUGGGGGGAACCCUGAUCCAGCGACGCCGCGUGAGUGAAGAAGUAUUUCGGUAUGUAAAGCUCUGUCAGCAGGGGAGAAAGAAAUGACGGUACCUGACCAAGAAGCCCCGUCUAACUACGUGCCAGCAGCCGCGGUAAUACGGAGGGGGCAAGCGUUAUCCGGAAUUACUGGGUGUAAAGGGAGCGUAGACGGUUAAGUAAGUCUGGAGUGAAAGGCCGGGGCCCAACCCCGGGACUGCUCUGGAAACUAUUGAACUUGAGUGCAGGAGAGGUAAGCGGAAUGCCUAGUGUAGCGGUGAAAUGCGUAGAUAUUAGGAGGAACACCAGUGGCGAAGGCGGCUUACUGGACUGUAACUGACGUUGAGGCUCGAAAGCGUGGGGAGCAAACAGGAUUAGAUACCCUAGUAGUC
rnacentral:rRNA from 1 species